GAAACCCAGGAAGUCAGCUUGGGGGUGGUGGCCUCAUCUAGGCCACAAACCCACCUGAGCCCUAGACCCUGAGCUAUACCCCCUGAGGGUCUGGGGUCUUCUCUGCUGGCUCCAGACGGGAGCCGGACACCAGAGAAGAGCUGAUUCAUGUUACAAAAAGUGGAUAGCACCCCCAAGCAACAUCCUGAGUGGAAAAAGUCAGACCCAGCAGCCCACAUGUUGUACGAUUCUGUAUAUACGAAACGUCCAGAACAGGUCACAGUUGGAGGCUCACCCUGAGGUUCACCGCAGCCCACCUUCCCCGUGUCAAAUCUUUGUACGCCCACCUCUCUUGGCCUGCCUGCCACCUACUUCAGGAAGCCCUCCCAGCUGCCCCAGAAGCACAACUGAGGUGGAUUCUCUACCAACUGAGCCACAAGCGAAGCGCAAGAAUACUGGAGUGGGUAAACUGUCUCUUCUCUAGCAGAUCUUCCUGACCCAGGAAUCAAACUGGGGUCUCCUGCAUUGCAGGCAGACUCUUUAUCAACUGAGUCAUCAGGGAAUCAGAUAAAUAAUAGAGGGCUUUUUGCAUACUUACAUCCC
ensembl:lncRNA